AGCAAGAGAGCUAGAAAGCGCAUGCGUGGGCCCAGAAGUUUCCGCCCCGGGAAGGCAGUGCGGGAGGCCGGCCGGAAGCACGAGCGCACCUGGACUUGAAGGGCUCAGCAGGGUAGACCUUUUGCGCAUGCGCGGGCGCGCCCCUGGUUGCCUGGCCCCGCCGGGAGCACGCGCCGCUUGGCGCGCGCUAGGCACACACCAGGCCCCGGGGACGGGACGCGCGGUGGGUCGGUUUCCCAGGCGCCGAGAGGCAGCUCGGUUCCUUCGGGCCCCCGCCCCGCUUCCACUUUGGGAUGCUGCAGCCUCCGACGACACCCCUCCAACACCCUUCGUCGUUUAGGCGUCCGGCUGCAACUCUUGGUUGCAAAAUUCAAGUUUUCCCGCCUCUGCAGCAGUUACUGGGGAAGAACCUUAGAGCUCUGUUGGCUUAAUUUUGUUCAAAGGGACUCUGCAGCUUCCUAAAUCCGUCAGGUCCUAAGGGGUCGAGAGGGCGCCGUGAGGGAAGGAAAGUGGGCUGAGGCUGGGAAGGGCUCCUCGCAGGCCCAGCCUUCCUGAGACUUGUGUGGCCUUUCAGGGCUUUUUUUUUUUUUUUUUUUUAAUAUAAACCUCUCAAGUCUUUCUGUUCUCUCCUCCAGCCAUUUCUCCGCCGUUUGCUGUUUCUACAGAUGACAGCCUUUGGGUUGUGUUUGUUUCCCCUGGUGACCUAGCCGUGUCCCAGAGUAACAAAACACCCAAUCCUCAUCUCUAAACGUCCCAGAGCUGGGUCACAUUGGCUAUGGGGAGGCGAGAAGACUCCCAGGUCCCCCCACCCACAGAAGGGCUCCCGCUCUUCGAAGAGCUGUUGAAACUCCCUGCGAGCCAGGAAGGGACCAAGGACUAGGGGCUGGAACGGGGCUCCAACCUGGGACAGGCAAGAAAACUUGAUUAGGGAACCUUCUUCCCUUCAUCUCCUUCCUUACCUCAAAUCCCUCCUAACACUUGUACCGUUUUUCUCCAGCACUUCUGGCAAGCUCUAGGUUUCCCAGUUUUUUGUGCACGUGAACUGUGAGUAAUCCGCCUCCACCCUAGAAUCAGAGCUCCGGAAGGCAGCAACCCAGCAACCGCCUGUGCUGUGCUCGCAUUGAGUAGCACCGAGCCUGACUCCUGGCAGGUCCUCAGAUAAGGCUUUGCUGAGUGCUGCAGUGGAAGGUGUGCUUUCUCCACGCUAGCUUUGCCCCACCUGGGUUCAAAGUCCUGACUCUGUAUAUAGCAUGGUGCUUGGCAUGGAGACAAAGGAUAACACCAACAACAAAGAAUGAUGCUGCAACUCCUGCCAUUGAGUGAGCACCGCACCUUGUGCAUGUAGACUGGUUCAGCAGACGCUCCUUGAACACCUACCGGGGAUCAGACAAGGAAAUAGAAAUAGUAUGCAACGGAGUUCUUGCCUCCAAGGAACCCACAGUCUAGCUGAGAAGUCAGAGCCAUGGAGAGACACCCACAAACUGGCCCCUGGAGGUGGUGGGCACAGUAGUUAAGGGAGUGGACACUAGACUUGACCAUCCAGGGGUCACAUCUGGUUCUGCCGCCAUCCAGCUGUGGAACUCUGGCCGCAUGUCUCGAUCUCUUUUUCCUCAGGGAUGACAUGAAGAUGAUAAUAUCUACCUUCUUUGAUUUCAUAAAUAUCGAUUGAGAACCUGCUAUAUGUCAAGCACUAUUCUAGAUGUUAAUGAAACUGUAGAAAGAAAAAACACAAAGACAAGAUCCUACCAUCCUGGAGCUGACAUUCCAGGGGGGAGAGACAAACACAAAUAAAUGAGUUAAAAUA